ACUAUUCUUCCCUUUUUCUUUCUCUUUAACUUCUGGUGAAUCAGCGAUUGAAGGAAACAAAUCACUAAACGUUAGUUGAUUUAGAUCCUUGAAUUUAAGUAACGUGGAGUUUCAAGGACAAGUCUGCAAAUGGUUCUUUUGCUGUGGAAUGAGCGAUUACGGCAGGGGUUUUUCUUUCCCUUAAAUUUCUUGUUUUACUUGUGCAAAUCAAACUGAUUUUGGUUAAGCUCGUCAUUUUCUGUUUUGCCUGAUUUAUGAAAUUUAUUAAAUGGGUGUUUAGUAAAUAUGCCGAGGGAGUAGGAUUGGGUGUUUUCUAACAAAUUUUUGUUUAAUUUCAGGCUACAGAUUUUGUAGUUUGUGAAUUCAUUUUUCCUAUAAAAUGACUGAACUUUAUUUUCUUUGAAAUCCCACCCUUUUUCCAUAAUAACCCUUGGUUAUUGAACUGUGUACGGUCUGAAUGGUUUAGAUGAUGUUUCCCUUUGAUAAAUAAGAAAUGAUUUGUAUCCAUGCAAGUGCUAGUUUUUCUUCAUAAGCCAAGAUUUGUAUUGAAUUUUUAAAUUUGCCCUCUUUCUGUUUGUUAAAAUGAUUCAAUGAAUUUCGAAUUUAAACCCCAUCGAUAGCCGAUAAUUUGAGACUCAUUUACUGGAUUUGUUUUGUAGUUUUGUAACCUCCUUCCCACCCUGAAACUUUAAGAUUCCAAGCCAUGGAUUUGUCUUGUAUCACUAGCUUGAUAUUUUAAAAUCCAUUUUGUUCUAUUCAACAUAAAAGAAAUGAACGGCCUCAUAAAAAGACCCAUUGCUUUACCGAUUAGUUCAUGCUCCUUAAUUUUGGUUACUUGCUUUAAACCUUGAAUUUGAAUUUUGGUUAGUUGAAAUGUUUUGAAGUCAGAAAGUCCACUUUCAGUUUUAGCCUCCUAUCUAUUUCGGACACUACACUAAAUAUCAUUUUUACAAUUUCGUUUUUCUGAUACAAAUGAACUUUAACUGGUUGGGAAUUUGGUUUUAAAUUUGCUGAUCAACAAGUUUGUUUCACUUCUUUACGGAGUUCUCUUUGAUUCACUUACAGCCACUUGAGUAUGUUUUUCCCAUGCCAUUUCACUGAUGACUCUCCCUCUCUCGGCAAUUAGGACACAUUUUACUUUUUGGUCUUCUGUUUUGAUGGGAACUUUUCGUACUCUUGUGAGAAUUAUGAUGAUUGUUCACAUACUGGUUUGGUAGACUUCAGUACUGGUCAUUCUCAGCAGUUUGAAUUCUUUCUAUUGAUCAUGAAUUUUAAUAUCAUACUUGUGGUAAGUGAUUCUCGUUCUCUUGCUAAGUUCUCAUGCAAUUGCUGCCAAUACUUGUAUUUGUAAGUUUUGGUUAUGGAUUCAUAACGUGCUUUGUGGAUGUUUCCUUCCUGACAACUAUAUUUGGAAACUAGAGAACUCUAUUUUAGGAACGUCGGGGCUAAGUGGCACCCCACCAACUCGGUGGCUACCCGGAAGAUCGUUGCGGCAACGAUGGCUGGUAACCAGAACUACCCUGACGGUGGCACUGGCCAUGAAAGAAUAGAGCAAUUUUAUUUGAAUUUAAAUGAAUGGCAGCUUACAAUUGUUUGUGAACAAAUGCUUUACAUUUAUUUAUGGAUUCCAGAUUUAUAGUUUUAUGCUUUAUUGAUGCUUUAACCUUUGGCAUUUUAUUUGUAUAUCUCGUAACGUUCGAUUGUCGUUAUAACUCCUACUGGGCUGUGGGCUCACCCCGUUUUGUUUUGUUUUUCCACAGAGUACGAAGAGAGAUUGAAGCAGUAAGCUUGAGAAUAACUUACGACAUGAAGCGUUUGAGCAAAAGUGGUAUUUUUCUCUCAUCUCUUAUAUGUAUAUCACGGGGAUAUCUGGGUAGUCUUAAGUUUCCUUUGGCUCAUGUUUUUGUCAUAUUUAUGUUAUGUAGAUAACACUGGGAUUUCGUGCAAAGUUUAUAUUUAUGUUAUGUAGAUAACACUGGGAUUUCGUGCAAAGUUUAUCCGUCGUAGAGGGGUCGAA